UACAGAGGUCCCAAGCGUUGUUCGGAUUCACUGGGCGUAAAGGGUGCGUAGGUGGAAUGACAAGUCAGUGGUGAAAACCUGCAGCUUAACUGUAGAACUGCCAUUGAUACUGUUGUUCUUGAGUACAUUUGAUGUGAGCGGAAUGUGUCGUGUAGCGGUGAAAUGCUUAGAUAUGACACAGAACACCAAUUGCGAAGGCAGCUCACAAAACUGUAACUGACACUGAGGCACGAAAGCGUGGGGAUCAAACAGG
rnacentral:rRNA from 1 species